rnacentral:rRNA from 1 species
UUAAGCGACUAAGCGUACACGGUGGAUGCCCUGGCAGUCAGAGGCGAUGAAGGACGUGCUAAUCUGCGAUAAGCGUCGGUAAGGUGAUAUGAACCGUUAUAACCGGCGAUUUCCGAAUGGGGAAACCCAGUGUGUUUCGACACACUAUCAUUAACUGAAUCCAUAGGUUAAUGAGGCGAACCGGGGGAACUGAAACAUCUAAGUACCCCGAGGAAAAGAAAUCAACCGAGAUUCCCCCAGUAGCGGCGAGCGAACGGGGAGGAGCCCAGAGCCUGAAUCAGUGUGUGUGUUAGUGGAAGCGUCUGGAAAGGCGCGCGAUACAGGGUGACAGCCCCGUACACAAAAAUGCACAUGCUGUGAGCUCGAUGAGUAGGGCGGGACACGUGGUAUCCUGUCUGAAUAUGGGGGGACCAUCCUCCAAGGCUAAAUACUCCUGACUGACCGAUAGUGAACCAGUACCGUGAGGGAAAGGCGAAAAGAACCCCGGCGAGGGGAGUGAAAAAGAACCUGAAACCGUGUACGUACAAGCAGUGGGAGCACGCUUAGGCGUGUGACUGCGUACCUUUUGUAUAAUGGGUCAGCGACUUAUAUUCUGUAGCAAGGUUAACCGAAUAGGGGAGCCGAAGGGAAACCGAGUCUUAACUGGGCGUUAAGUUGCAGGGUAUAGACCCGAAACCCGGUGAUCUAGCCAUGGGCAGGUUGAAGGUUGGGUAACACUAACUGGAGGACCGAACCGACUAAUGUUGAAAAAUUAGCGGAUGACUUGUGGCUGGGGGUGAAAGGCCAAUCAAACCGGGAGAUAGCUGGUUCUCCCCGAAAGCUAUUUAGGUAGCGCCUCGUGAAUUCAUCUCCGGGGGUAGAGCACUGUUUCGGCAAGGGGGUCAUCCCGACUUACCAACCCGAUGCAAACUGCGAAUACCGGAGAAUGUUAUCACGGGAGACACACGGCGGGUGCUAACGUCCGUCGUGAAGAGGGAAACAACCCAGACCGCCAGCUAAGGUCCCAAAGUCAUGGUUAAGUGGGAAACGAUGUGGGAAGGCCCAGACAGCCAGGAUGUUGGCUUAGAAGCAGCCAUCAUUUAAAGAAAGCGUAAUAGCUCACUGGUCGAGUCGGCCUGCGCGGAAGAUGUAACGGGGCUAAACCAUGCACCGAAGCUGCGGCAGCGACACUGAUGCGUUGUUGGGUAGGGGAGCGUUCUGUAAGCCUGUGAAGGUGUACUGUGAGGUAUGCUGGAGGUAUCAGAAGUGCGAAUGCUGACAUAAGUAACGAUAAAGCGGGUGAAAAGCCCGCUCGCCGGAAGACCAAGGGUUCCUGUCCAACGUUAAUCGGGGCAGGGUGAGUCGACCCCUAAGGCGAGGCCGAAAGGCGUAGUCGAUGGGAAACAGGUUAAUAUUCCUGUACUUGGUGUUACUGCGAAGGGGGGACGGAGAAGGCUAUGUUGGCCGGGCGACGGUUGUCCCGGUUUAAGCGUGUAGGCUGGUUUUCCAGGCAAAUCCGGAAAAUCAAGGCUGAGGCGUGAUGACGAGGCACUACGGUGCUGAAGCAACAAAUGCCCUGCUUCCAGGAAAAGCCUCUAAGCAUCAGGUAACAUCAAAUCGUACCCCAAACCGACACAGGUGGUCAGGUAGAGAAUACCAAGGCGCUUGAGAGAACUCGGGUGAAGGAACUAGGCAAAAUGGUGCCGUAACUUCGGGAGAAGGCACGCUGAUAUGUAGGUGAAGCGACUUGCUCGUGGAGCUGAAAUCAGUCGAAGAUACCAGCUGGCUGCAACUGUUUAUUAAAAACACAGCACUGUGCAAACACGAAAGUGGACGUAUACGGUGUGACGCCUGCCCGGUGCCGGAAGGUUAAUUGAUGGGGUUAGCCGCAAGGCGAAGCUCUUGAUCGAAGCCCCGGUAAACGGCGGCCGUAACUAUAACGGUCCUAAGGUAGCGAAAUUCCUUGUCGGGUAAGUUCCGACCUGCACGAAUGGCGUAAUGAUGGCCAGGCUGUCUCCACCCGAGACUCAGUGAAAUUGAACUCGCUGUGAAGAUGCAGUGUACCCGCGGCAAGACGGAAAGACCCCGUGAACCUUUACUAUAGCUUGACACUGAACAUUGAGCCUUGAUGUGUAGGAUAGGUGGGAGGCUUUGAAGUGUGGACGCCAGUCUGCAUGGAGCCGACCUUGAAAUACCACCCUUUAAUGUUUGAUGUUCUAACGUUGACCCGUGAUCCGGGUUGCGGACAGUGUCUGGUGGGUAGUUUGACUGGGGCGGUCUCCUCCUAAAGAGUAACGGAGGAGCACGAAGGUUGGCUAAUCCUGGUCGGACAUCAGGAGGUUAGUGCAAUGGCAUAAGCCAGCUUGACUGCGAGCGUGACGGCGCGAGCAGGUGCGAAAGCAGGUCAUAGUGAUCCGGUGGUUCUGAAUGGAAGGGCCAUCGCUCAACGGAUAAAAGGUACUCCGGGGAUAACAGGCUGAUACCGCCCAAGAGUUCAUAUCGACGGCGGUGUUUGGCACCUCGAUGUCGGCUCAUCACAUCCUGGGGCUGAAGUAGGUCCCAAGGGUAUGGCUGUUCGCCAUUUAAAGUGGUACGCGAGCUGGGUUUAGAACGUCGUGAGACAGUUCGGUCCCUAUCUGCCGUGGGCGCUGGAGAAUUGAGGGGGGCUGCUCCUAGUACGAGAGGACCGGAGUGGACGCAUCACUGGUGUUCGGGUUGUCAUGCCAAUGGCACUGCCCGGUAGCUAAAUGCGGAAGAGAUAAGUGCUGAAAGCAUCUAAGCACGAAACUUGCCCCGAGAUGAGUUCUCCCUGACUCCUUGAGAGUCCUGAAGGAACGUUGAAGACGACGACGUUGAUAGGCCGGGUGUGUAAGCGCAGCGAUGCGUUGAGCUAACCGGUACUAAUGAACCGUGAGGCUUAACCUU